rnacentral:rRNA from 1 species
CUCAGGUGCGAAAGCGUGGGGAGCAAACAGGAUUAGAUACCCUGGUAGUCCACGCCGUAAACGAUGUCGACUUGGAGGUUGUGCCCUUGAGGCGUGGCUUCCGGAGCUAACGCGUUAAGUCGACCGCCUGGGGAGUACGGCCGCAAGGUUAAAACUCAAAUGAAUUGACGGGGGCCCGCACAAGCGGUGGAGCAUUGGUUUAAUUCGAUGCAACGCGAAGAACCUUACCUGGUCUUGACAUCCACGGAAGUUU